rnacentral:snRNA from 1 species
GAAUCUGAGGGUGAUGUGGCUGCUACAUCUCUCACCCCACUGAUCACCAGGGUUGACUCAGCUGAUCUGGCUGUCUAGGUGGGUGUCCCCUUCCUCCUCCGAUGCUCUGUGCGCAUCCCUCCAGAAGCUCCAUGUUCCAUCAAAGAGGAUGACCUUCCCCCAUAGAAGAGGACCAUUUUGGGGUCAAGAGUAUACCUAUAGCUACACUCCCUUGCUAGACCCUGCAAACAAGCUCUCCAGGUCCAUUUGUAGGAGUACAUAGGUUAGCCAAGCUUUCAUGGCUCCAGACCUUUCUUUUAAAAAA